GACGAACGCUGGCGGCGUGCUUAACACAUGCAAGUCGAACGGAAAGGCCCCUUCGGGGGUACUCGAGUGGCGAACGGGUGAGUAACACGUGAGUAACCUGCCCUUGACUUCGGGAUAACUUCAGGAAACUGGGGCUAAUACCGGAUAGGAAUCCUUGCUGCAUGGUGGGGGUUGGAAAGCUUCGGCGGUUUUGGAUGGACUCGCGGCUUAUCAGCUUGUUGGUGGGGUAGUGGCUUACCAAGGCUUUGACGGGUAGCCGGCCUGAGAGGGCGACCGGCCACAGUGGGACUGAGAGACGGCCCGGACUCCUACGGGAGGCAGCAGUGGGGAAUAUUGCACAAUGGGCGGAAGCCUGAUGCAGCAACGCCGCGUGCGGGAGGACGGCCUUCGGGUUGUAAACCGCUUUCAGCAGGGGCGAAGCUUGUGGUGACGGUACCUGCAGAAGAAGCACCGGCUAACUACGUG
rnacentral:rRNA from 1 species